CACAACGAGAAAACAAAGCGGCUGGACAGCAAAAAGUCCAGUGACCUGAUAGUGCUGGGUUUGCCUUGGAAGAGCACAGACGAUGACUUGAAGGCUUACUUCUCACAGUUUGGUGAAAUCAUGGCACAGAAUUCGAUUAUGGCAAGUCUAGAUGGAGCUCCCACUUAGCGUAAGAAGAUUCCAGCCAUGGCCUGUUUAUAAGGUGGCUGCAUGGGGGAACAUCAGAAGCAUAUGGUGUUUCUCGGAAAUGGAAACCUUGCAAGUCGUAAAAGUUGAGACGGAUAGCAUUGGUGAGCUCCUGGCCUGAUGACGGUCCACUUUCAUAAGGUUAAAAUGGAGAAAGCGAUAUUAGCAUGUGGGAUUUCAAUGUGUGAUACCACUGAAAUUUAGGACUCUUUAAGAUCUUCAUCAGUUUCAAUGUGACACACGUGGCGUUGUCACUGGUCUAGAAUACUAGGAGCUACUACCCCCCAACCUCGCCCUCGGUGCUGCGGUUGUGGUAUUAAUUAAGACACCAUCG